rnacentral:rRNA from 1 species
AGUCACUGACAUUAGAUACCCCGGUAGUCCAGGGUGUAAACGCUGCAGACUUGGUGUUGGAAGCCCUUUGGGGGCAUUCAGUGCCGGAGAGAAGUUGUUAAGUCUGCUACUUGGGGAGUACGUCCGCAAGGAUGAAACUUAAAGGAAUUGGCGGGGAGCACCGCAACGGGAGGAGCGUGCGGUUUAAUUGGAUUCAACACCGUAAACUCACCAGGGAAGACUGUUACAUGAAGGCCGAGAUGAAGACUCUGCUAGAUUUUCAG